AUUGAACGCUGGCGGCAGGCCUAACACAUGCAAGUCGAGCGAGCGGCGGACGGGUGAGUAAUGUAUGGGGCCUGCCCGAUAGAGGGGGAUAACUACUGGAAACGGUGGCUAAUACCGCAUACUAUCGGAUAACCCAUAUGGGAUUAGCUAGUAGGUGGGGUAAAGGCUAACCUAGGCGACGAUCUCUCGCUGGUCUGAGAGGAUGAGCAGCCCCACUGGGACUGAGACACGGCACAGACUCCUACGGAGGCAGCAGUGGGGAAGGUUGCACAAUGGGCGCAAGCCUGAUGCAGUCAUGCGGCGUGUAUGAAGAAGGCCUGAGGGUUGUAAAGUACUUUCAGCGGGGAGGCGUUACCCGAAGAAGAAGCACCGGCUAACGCCGUGGCAGCCGCGGUAAUAC
rnacentral:rRNA from 1 species